GCCCCGGUAGCUCAGACUGGUGGAGCGUCGGCCUCGUAAGGUUUACUAUAAUCUCGGGGUAGCCGAAGGUCCCGGGUUCAAAUCCCGGCCGGGGCU
rnacentral:tRNA from 1 species